rnacentral:tRNA from 1 species
AGCAGCGUGGCCAGUGGAAGCGUGCUGGGCCCAUAACCCAGAGGUCGGUGGAUCGAAACCACUCGUUGCUA